rnacentral:lncRNA from 1 species
UCCACCGUGCGAGCUGAGAUGUGGAGAGGACGGGCCGCAGCCCGCAGUGCGUCGUGGGCGAGGAAGGGAGCGGCGCCGAGUCCCCGGCUCCCCGCUCGUCCGCUUCUACUGCCGUCUGCCAGGCGGAUUUAGGGCGGGGGACGGGGCCGGCGGCGCACGCGGAUUUGGGGGGUCGCGGCCGGCGACCCCGCGGGCGAUCUCCGGCUGUCAGAUGCGCGGCCUCCGGUUCCCACGGGACGGGUGGGCCCUUCGUCGGAAAUCUAUCGUCUAUGGAGUGGCGUGGUGUCGCGUCGUUUCGUGUCGUACGGGGCGCGCGGCGCCGUGGCGGUGGCCCAUCCAAACCGUACGUUGCGGGUGGACGGAGAUAACAGCGCCGUCAGCGCGCCAAAACUUCUUCGAAUCGAUUCAUCGGGUGGUGUCCUCCUAUAAAAAACUUGUUAAUAAGGUAAAUCGUUUUCUCGUUACUACUAAGCAGUAAAUAGUUAAUUAUUAUAUGUUUUUGACAAAUGAAAUAGUCCAAUCCAUCGUGUAUUUCUACUCAUCCUAUUAUAAACUAUAUAGUUCACUUUAGCCCUUGUUUACUUCCCAAGUUGGGAGGUGCCAAAUUGGCAUUUUGCCAUAAAUGCGACA